rnacentral:rRNA from 1 species
GACGAACGCUGGCGGCGUGCUUAACACAUGCAAGUCGAACGGAAAGGCCCUGCUUUUGUGGGGUGCUCGAGUGGCGAACGGGUGAGUAACACGUGAGUAACCUGCCCUUGACUUUGGGAUAACUUCAGGAAACUGGGGCUAAUACCGGAUAGGAGCUCCAGCUGCAUGGUGGGGGUUGGAAAGUUUCGGCGGUUGGGGAUGGACUCGCGGCUUAUCAGCUUGUUGGUGGGGUAGUGGCUUACCAAGGCUUUGACGGGUAGCCGGCCUGAGAGGGUGCCCGGCCCCAUUGGGCCUGAGCUACGGCCCAGACUCCUACGGGAGGCAGAAGUGGGGAAUAUUGCACAAUGGGCGGAAGCCUGAUGCAGCAACGCCGCGUGCGGGAUGACGGCCUUCGGGUUGUAAACCGCUUUCGCCUGUGACGAAGCGUGAGUGACGGUAAUGGGUAAAGAAGCACCGGCUAACUACGUG